AAAGUUGUUUAUUCAAUACUUAUCAAACAUAAACAUAAAUAAAUAAAUAUAAAAUUAUUGAGCAUUGAUUCUAAAAUAUACCUUGGUUAAAAACAUCAGAUUGCAGUACAAGCUCAAUCAUAUAUAGUUUCAAACUAAGUAGAAAAUAUUAAUCUUUCUAUGCAAGAUCAGCAAAAACUGAUAUGAAGGUGCUAGAUCAGCAUUAAUUGAUAUAGAGGUGCUAGAUCAGCAUAUAUUGAUAUAGAGGUGCUAGAUCAGCGUAUAUUGAUACAGAGGUGCUAGAUCAGCGUAUAUUGAUAAAGAGGUGCUAGAUCAGCGUAUAUUGAUACAGAGGUGCUAGAUCAGCGUAUAUUGAUACAGAGGUGCUAGAUCAGCGUAUAUUGAUAUAGAGGUGCUAGAUCAACAUAUAUUGAUAUAGAGGUGCUAGAUCAGCGUAUAUUGAUAUAGAGGUGCUAGAUCAACAUAUAUUGAUAUAGAGGUGCUAGAUCAGCAUAUAUUGAUAUAGAGGUGCUAGAUCAUCGUAUAUUGAUAUAGAGGUGCUAGAUCAGUAUAUUGAUAUAGAGGUGCUAGAUCAGCAUUAUUGAUAGAGGUGCUAGAUCAGCAUUAAUUGAUAUAGAGGUGCUAGAUCAGCGUAUAUUGAUAUAGAGGUGCUAGAUCAGCAUUAAUUGAUACAGA